rnacentral:rRNA from 1 species
AUUGAACGCUGGCGGCAUGCUUUACACAUGCAAGUCGAACGGUAACAGGUUAAGCUGACGAGUGGCGAACGGGUGAGUAAUGCAUCGGAACGUGCCCGGUCGUGGGGGAUAACGCAGCGAAAGCUGCGCUAAUACCGCAUACGAUCUGAGGAUGAAAGCGGGGGACCGUAAGGCCUCGCGCGAUCGGAGCGGCCGAUGUCAGAUUAGGUAGUUGGUGGGGUAAAGGCUCACCAAGCCGACGAUCUGUAGCUGGUCUGAGAGGACGACCAGCCACACUGGGACUGAGACACGGCCCAGACUCCUACGGGAGGCAGCAGUGGGGAAUUUUGGACAAUGGGCGCAAGCCUGAUCCAGCAAUGCCGCGUGCAGGAAGAAGGCCUUCGGGUUGUAAACUGCUUUUGUACGGAGCGAAAAAGCUCUCUCUAAUACAGGGGGCUCAUGACGGUACCGUAAGAAUAAGCACCGGCUAACUACGUGCCAGCCGCCGCGGUAAUAC